rnacentral:rRNA from 1 species
UUCGCAAUGCCCGAAAGGGUGACGAAGCGACGCCGCGUGGGUGAGGAAGGCCUUCGGGUUGUAAAGCCCUGUCAGGAGUUAAGAAAUGUAGGUUCGCUAAUAUCGUGCCUAUUUGACAAAGGCUCCAAAGGAAGCACGGCUAACUCUGUGCCAGCAGCCGCGGUAAUACAGAGGUGGCAAGCGUUGUUCGGAAUUAUUGGGCGUAAAGAGCACGUAGGUGGAUUUGUAAGUCAGAUGUGAAAGCCUUCUGUUCAACGGGAGAAUUGCAUCUGAAACUACAAACCUUGAGUAUAGGAGGGGAGAAUGGAACUUCUGGUGGAGCGGUGAAAUGCGUAGAUAUCAGAAGGAACGCCGGCGGCGAAAGCGAUUCUCUGGCCUAUUACUGACACUCAGUGUGCGAAAGCUAGGGGAGCAGACGGGAUUAGAUACCCCGGUAGUCCUAGCCGUAAACGAUGGGCACUAAGUAGAGGGGUUUU